rnacentral:rRNA from 1 species
UACGUAGGGUGCAAGCGUUAAUCGGAAUUACUGGGCGUAAAGCGUGCGCAGGCGGUGAUGUAAGACAGAUGUGAAACCCCCGGGCUCAACCUGGGAACUGCAUUUGUGACUGCAUCGCUGGAGUGCGGCAGAGGGGGAUGGAAUUCCGCGUGUAGCAGUGAAAUGCGUAGAUAUGCGGAGGAACACCGAUGGCGAAGGCAAUCCCCUGGGCCUGCACUGACGCUCAUGCACGAAAGCGUGGGGAGCAAACAGG